GCCACCCUAGCUCAGCUGGUAGAGCGACGCAUUCGUAAUGCGUAGGUCGUCGGUUCGAAUCCGAUGGGUGGCUCCA
rnacentral:tRNA from 1 species